rnacentral:sRNA from 1 species
CCGACCUGCUGUCCCUGCAGCUCUCCUGCUGGGUCUCUUUUGCGUCAGUCGCCCCAGCCAAGGCACACAUUUCAUGCUGGGCCCCGUCUGUCUGCCUCGGCCUCCAGCAAGGAGCUCCUCAUGAAGCUGCGGCGGAAAACAGGCUACUCUUUUGUAAAUUGCAAGAAAGCUCUGGAGACUUGUGGCGGGGACCUCAAACAGACGGAGUCUUGCUCUGUGGCCCAGGCCGGAGUGCAAUGGCAGAGAUCUGGCUCCACAAGGAGGCCCAGAAGGAGGGCUGGAGCAAAGCUGCCAAGCUCCAAGGGAGGAAGACCAAAGAAGGCCUGAUUGGGCUGUUGCAGGAAGGAAACACAACUGUAUUAGUAGAGGUAAACUGUGAGACGGAUUUUGUUUCUAGAAAUUUAAAAUUUCAACAGUUGGUCCAGCAAGUAGCCCUUGGAACCAUGAUGCAUUGUCAGACCCUAAAGGAUCAACCCUCUACAUACAGUAAAGGUUUCUUGAAUUCCUCUGAGCUUUCUGGACUUCCAGCUGGGCCUGACAGAGAAGGCUCACUCAAGGAUCAGUUGGCUUUAGCAAUUGGAAAACUGGGAGAAAACAUGAUUCUUAAACGAGCUGCAUGGGUGAAGGUGCCAUCUGGGUUCUACGUUGGCUCUUAUGUCCACGGAGCAAUGCAGAGUCCCUCACUUCACAACCUGGCGCUGGGGAAGUAUGGGGCCCUGGUCAUCUGUGAGACGUCUGAACAGAAAACAAACCUUGAAGACGUUGGCCGC